CCUACGGGGGGCAGCAGUGGGGAAUAUUGGGCAAUGGGCGCAAGCCUGACCCAGCAACGCCGCGUGAAGGAAGAAGGCUUUCGGGUUGUAAACUUCUUUUCUCAGGGACGAAGCAAGUGACGGUACCUGAGGAAUAAGCCACGGCUAACUACGUGCCAGCAGCCGCGGUAAUACGUAGGUGGCAAGCGUUAUCCGGAUUUACUGGGUGUAAAGGGCGUGUAGGCGGGAAAGCAAGUCAGAUGUGAAAACCAUGGGCUCAACCUGGGGCCUGCAUUUGAAACUGGUUUUCUUGAGUGCUGGAGAGGCAGGCGGAAUUCCUGGUGUAGCGGUGAAAUGCGUAGAUAUUAGGAGGAACACCAGUGGCGAAGGCGGUCUGCUGGACAGCAACUGACGCUGAGGCGCGAAAGCGUGGGGAGCAAACAGGAUUAGAUACCCGGGUAGUC
rnacentral:rRNA from 1 species